rnacentral:rRNA from 1 species
CCUGGCGGCUGUAGCGCGGUGGUCCCACCUGACCCCAUGCCGAACUCAGAAGUGAAACGCCGUAGCGCCGAUGGUAGUNUGGGGUCUCCCCAUGCGAGAGUAGGGAACUGCCAGGC